rnacentral:rRNA from 1 species
AACGGCCGUACCAUGCUGAAUAUACCGGUUCUCGUUAGAUCACCGAAGUCAAGCAUCAUUGGGCGCGGUCAGUACUUGGGUGGGUGACCACCUGGGAACACCACUUGUCG